rnacentral:rRNA from 1 species
GACGAACGCUGGCGGCGUGCUUAACACAUGCAAGUCGAACGAUGAAGCUGGAGCUUGCUCUAGUGGAUUAGUGGCGAACGGGUGAGUAACACGUGAGUAACCUGCCCUGGACUCUGGGAUAACCCCGAGAUAUCGGAGCUAAUACCGGAUAGGACCUUGGAUCGCAUGAUCUGGGGUGGAAAGUUUUUCGGUCUGGGAUGGACUCGCGGCCUAUCAGCUUGUUGGUGAGGUAAUGGCUCACCAAGGCGUCGACGGGUAGCCGGCCUGAGAGGGUGACCGGCCACACUGGGACUGAGACACGGCCCAGACUCCUACGGGAGGCAGCAGUGGGGAAUAUUGCACAAUGGGCGCAAGCCUGAUGCAGCAACGCCGCGUGCGGGAUGACGGCCUUCGGGUUGUAAACCGCUUUUAGUAAGGAAGAAGCCGCAAGGUGACGGUACUUGCAGAAAGAGGACCGGCUAACUACGUGCCAGCAGCCGCGGUAAUAC